CUGGGAGCUAAGGGGGUGAUGUGCAGAGAUAAAGUAGAAGGAGGUCUCAAAAUCCAGCUAGACUCUCAUCUGUGCUGUCUGAUUCAGAGCCCAAGAUUUCUGACCUAGGAGGAAAAUGAGUGGAGAAGCCAAUAAUAUCAAGAAAGCCCAAUAUCUGAAAUGGCCCUUCUCCUCUUGCCCUAGCUGAUUCCUACCCUUCUUUAAGAUUUGGGCCAUGAGUCAUCUCCUCCAGGAAGCCUGU